rnacentral:lncRNA from 1 species
GGCAGGUAAAGGAGUGCCAUAGUAGGUAGAGGGCUGGGUCUGUCCUCUCUUCUCCUCCUCCUCUCCCUUUGCUCCCAGCCUGCAGGGAGAGGGGAGAGAGGUGAGAGCAGCAUGGGGGAGGAGGAAGCAGAGGAGACAGAGGUGGGAGAGGAGAGGCUAAGCCCCACACCCAACUGAAGAAGUGGUUGGCGGUUUCAGCGGCACCUCCCUCCUCGCUGAGGUGGACUGUGAAGGUGGAGAAGCCCAGAGCACAGCCUCCUGUGAAGAAACAGAGGGAAGACCCAGUGCCUUGUGCAAGGUGGCUCAGUUUGUAAGUGGCAGAGCCGAUUUGAACCCACGUUUGUCUGACUCUAAUACUGUAUCAACCCUCCUUCCUCUACCCUGUUCCUCUGCAUUGUCAACUAUUCCACAUGUAUCUUGUUCCUCAACAAAAUAGUAACGUUUUCUUUUGCAUACUUUAUAUCUCUCACCUUGCCUGACCCAGUAACAUAGGCUUGGUUGGGAGGGACUGAAGGACUUGGAAAGGAAAUGCCCCAGUGGAG